GACGGGGGGGGCAAGUGUUCUUCGGAAUGACUGGGCGUCAAGGGCACGUAGGCGGUGAAUCGGGUUGAAAGUGAAAGUCGCCAAAAAGUGGCGGAAUGCUCUCGAAACCAAUUCACUUGAGUGGGACAGAGGAGAGUGGAAUUUCCGGUGUAGCGGUGAAAUGCGUAGAUAUCGGAAGGAACAUCAGUGGCGAAAGCGACUUCCUGGACCAAUACUGACGCUCAUGUGCGAAAGCGUGGGGAGCAAACAGG
rnacentral:rRNA from 1 species